CUCUGCUCAAAGGCCUAACGUGCAAAAACAAGGAGAUGAAAACAAACAAAAAUGGAUCGUUAAAUCACACUGAAUAGCACUGUGGUGAAGAAAAGUAUCAGAUGUCACCGAUUGCUCCAAACUGGUGGAUGAAUGUAUGGCUCUGCUCCCGUCUCUUCCCCGAGGAAAUGAAUGUCAAGAACGGCUCAGAAUUGCUACUCUCCGAAACAGAAAAUUGAGGAAAAAGCAAAGGGAUCCUUGGCUAUAAUACAAUCCAACCAAUGAAGUCUCUCCUGUGUCUUCAGCUUUGAAGCGAAACAAAGGCACAGGGUCUCUUUUGGUGGCUCAUCCGGCUAGGAUUUAUAUGGACCCGGAGAAAUGGUGACUAUGGAAUAAGAGCCAGGAUCUGAGGAUGAAAAGCAGUUCUGGCGCUCUUCCCUUCCUGUCUUGUUAGCCUUUGCUUAAUCCUCACACCAGUACACUUUCAACACCCUGAAUAAUCAAGAGAGUGUAGUUGAAAAACUCUGGUCUCUCUCCUCUACAAAUAAAGUGCUGUGCCAGCAUCUGUUAAUGAUAAAGUAAGAAAUAAUUUAUUCAAAAUAUAAUGGCUAUAAAAAGUACUUACUUGUGCAAACA